GUAGGGUGCGAGCGUUAAUCGGAAUUACUGGGCGUAAAGCGUGCGCAGGCGGUUGUGUAAGCCAGACGUGAAAUCCCCGGGCUUAACCUGGGAAUGGCGUUUGGGACUGCACGGCUCGAGUAUGGCAGAGGGGACUAGAAUUCCUGGUGUAGCAGUGAAAUGCGUAGAUAUCAGGAGGAAUACCGAUGGCGAAGGCAGGUCCCUGGGUUAAUACUGACGCUCAUGCACGAAAGCGUGGGGAGCAAACAGGAUUAGAUACCCUGGUAGUUCCACGCCCUUAAACUAUGUCAACUGGUUGUUGGGGGUUUGACACUCUCAGUAACGAAGCUAACGCGUGAAAGUUGACCGCCUGGGGAGUACGGCCGCAAGGUU
rnacentral:rRNA from 1 species